UACGUAACGAAAGUUUAAAGAUAGAGCCAAAGGGAUGUGAAGCACCUGUACAAUUUCCGCGCAAAUGGUCUGAGAUAAACUUAACAUCACCGUAUACUAGAUAUACUAGAUAUCAUAAUUUGUGGAAGUGUCCAACGAAGGGAGAUGGGAAUGUCUUUUAUCUUUCUCUUCACGGAUUUAUGGAAAAAUCGCCAAUCGCAAAAAUUUCAAAUAUUAGAGACCACAACAGUCCACAACAGUUAUGCAGUUUUUUAAAAUCUUCUGAGAUUGUAUUUCCAGGAUCAUCUAGUCUGUCAUCAUAUGAAAGUUCCAGUAGAAUGCCAACGCAGUCACCUCCUGCACGACUUUGCAAAUCUCUAUCACCAAAAAAAAAGAAAAAGAUCAAGUUCAUUAGAUAAAUCGUUGCAACAAGCAAGAAAACAGACAUGCGCAAUUCCUUCACCGAGAGUUGAUACAUCAUUCUUUCACAAUACUCAGGACGAGUAUUUACACUUACAAGAGGACGAUGUUGCCAGCUCAAUACAAUCUGUCUCCAAUGACUCCUCUGACAUCAAGGAUUAUUGAUUAAAAUUUCAUCCGAUAUAGGU